UACGUAGGGUGCAAGCGUUAAUCGGAAUUACUGGGCGUAAAGCGUGCGCAGGCGGUUGUGUAAGACAGAUGUGAAAUCCCCGGGCUCAACCUGGGAACUGCAUUUGUGACUGCACGGCUCGAGUGCGGCAGAGGGGGAUGGAAUUCCGCGUGUAGCAGUGAAAUGCGUAGAUAUGCGGAGGAACACCGGAUGGCCGAAGGCAAUCCCCUGGGCCUGCACUGACGCU
rnacentral:rRNA from 1 species